UCCGAAUCCGUGUCAGAAUGGUGGAACGUGCAAGAAAGAAUUAGAUGGCCACAACUGCUCCUGUCUCGAGGGUUAUCUUGGAAAGAAUUGUGAGAUUCCAACAUGUUAUCCGAAUCCGUGUCAGAAUGGUGGAACGUGCAAGAAAGAAUUAGAUGGCCACAACUGCUCCUGUCUCGAGGGUUAUCUUGGAAAGAAUUGUGAGAUUCCAACAUGUUAUCCGAAUCCGUGUCAGAAUGGUGGAACGUGCAAGAAAGAAUUAGAUGGCCACAACUGCUCCUGUCUCGAGGGUUAUCUUGGAAAGAAU